GCAAGAUGUACUAUUUUUAAGGUUUGAAAUCUCUUUUUUUUUUUUUGUCCAUAUCUAUACAUAUCGAUGUUUAGAUGACCAAUUAGAUUUUUUUCCCAAGGUUAGAAUAACCUUUUCUCGAAGGAUUUAAAGGUGCAACUUAAUUUUACAAUUUAAGGUGUCUAACCUUAUAUAAACAUUUUCCUUCUAUUUUUUAUUCUUUUGAUUGGCCCUCAAAGCUUAACAUGCAAA
rnacentral:lncRNA from 1 species